rnacentral:lncRNA from 1 species
AAAUAGGAAAAUAUCUUUUAUAGAAUUUUCACACCCAUAAUCUGUUAUAGAAAAUUUACUUUUGAAAUUAAAUAAGAAAAUUUAUUUUUUAGAAUUUUCACAUCAGUAAUCUGUUAUAGAGAACUUACGUAUUCAUUGGGGUUUCUAUUUUCAUUUUUAUUCUUAUGUUUAAAAUUUUUCGUACGGGAAAAAAAAAAAUGGGCGCUAAUUUUCCAGCUGAAAAAUGGGUCUGUCGACAGACCCAAAUUUGAAUAUACGUGCAUUUAUAUAUAUAUAUAUAUAGAGAGAGAGAGAGAGAAAGAGAGAGAGAGAGAGAGUUGGACUGGGCUACUAUUAGUAGCAAAAUUUCAUUGUUGCUACCAAUUUUUAAGCCUUUGGAUCAACUCUUUUCAUUAUUUCUAACCAUUGGAUUAAAUACUAUAACCCAGUGGGGACCACUCAACCCUAGGGGGACCACUCAACUCUAACAGACUAAUAUCAUCCUGACCCUACAAUUUUUCAUC